CCACAGAGAAGCUUGGCAAGACCUCGGAGCUGUCUUCCUGAGGCACGGGGCACACACCACACAGGACCCUGCUUUCUGGGUGAAAGUUGCCCUAGGGAGGAGCCUCUGUCAAGGCCAAGGUCCUGCCCAGAUGUGAGGAAGUAGCCUUCCUUCUGCUUGCACUGAUCACAAAGCAACAAGACAGGUGCCAUCUUUGAACCAGAGACCAAGCCUGCUGGCAUCUUGACCUUGUACUUCCCAGUCUGCAGAACUAUAGCUGCCUUGUGGCUACCACUGGGGCACAGCAUGAACUGCCCCCAAAAAGGCAGAUUCAGGAAACAGGUUCACCCCAGCCCUGGAAGCUGGCUCAGGACAAUUUGAGCACAGAAGUCCAAUGUCCUAC
ensembl:lncRNA